CGUCGUCAUCGGGAACAACAUCGUAAUUGUCACCACCGCCGAAGAAUCUAUCGUCUGAUUCGUAUCGCCUACGCGACUAAGGAUAAAGAGAUUGAGUAAAUUCGGAUUCGGAUUCGGAUUACACAAUUCUAUGAGUAGGAGAUAAUCAGAACGUACGUGGGAGCUAGACGAAGCGAGUGAGCGAUUUAGGCGGCGGAAUCGGCGGCGGAGGAAUAUAGAGUUAGAAGAGAAGGGAGUUACAGAGACAAAUCUGUGUGAGGCAUUGAUGAGAGUUAGCGAUGGUGAUGAUGAAGAUGAUGAUAAGGUUGUUGUAGCUGCGG
rnacentral:sRNA from 1 species